rnacentral:miRNA from 1 species
UACCCGUAAUCCAAUGCUGCAA